UACGGAGGGUGCAAGCGUUAUCCGGAUUCACUGGGUUUAAAGGGUGCGUAGGUGGGCAGGUAAGUCAGUGGUGAAAUCCCCGAGCUUAACUUGGGAACUGCCGUUGAUACUAUCUGUCUUGAAUAUCGUGGAGGUUAGCGGAAUAUGUCAUGUAGCGGUGAAAUGCAUAGAGAUGACAUAGAACACCAAUUGCGAAGGCAGCUGACUACACGGUAAUUGACACUGAGGCACGAAAGCCAGGGGAGCAAACGGG
rnacentral:rRNA from 1 species